AAGGACAUGAAACUCGAGCAGCAUAAAGGACAUGAAACCACAGAUCUUUGAGAUGAGAUAAUUUAUUUUACUUGAAAAGAUCUUCCUGUGUUGCAGAGGUGCCUCUGCAGCUCUCCAGUACUUCAUCUUUUUACAAGUGCUGAGUUGCUAACAACCCCCCAGAUGACAGCAGCUUUGCAUUUUCCUGUGGUCAUCUUCUUCUGGUGCAUCUAUCAAAAUGCCAGCAAGACAAGUCAGAUGAACCAGAUAAAAAUGGACAGCAACAUGUGUCAGCAUGGAUCAGGAAGGGGACACCCUGAAAACAGAAGCCACGAAGUAUGUAAAACAAUGUGCUUUGGAUUAAGUUUUUCUAAAUGCCCUUCAUCACAGCAGUGCCAAAUGUUCUAGCUGGCAGCUGAUCUUGAGUUGUCUUUGAAAUCUGAGUGAUGGACGUGAUCCUUAAAUAUGGGACAGUGGGGUACAUC